rnacentral:rRNA from 1 species
CUUACACAUGCAGUCGAGCGGAACGAUGAUUCUGAACCUUCGGGGAACGAAUUAGGCGUCGAGCGGCGGACGGGUGAGUAAUGCUUGGGAAUUUGCCCAGUCGAGGGGGAUAACUAUUGGAAACGAUAGCUAAUACCGCAUACGCCCUACGGGGGAAAGGAGGGGACCUUCGGGCCUUUCGCGAUUGGAUAAGCCCAAGUGAGAUUAGCUAGUUGGUGAGGUAAUGGCUCACCAAGGCGACGAUCUCUAGCUGGUCUGAGAGGAUGAUCAGCCACACUGGAACUGAGACACGGUCCAGACUCCUACGGGAGGCAGCAGUGGGGAAUAUUGCACAAUGGGCGAAAGCCUGAUGCAGCCAUGCCGCGUGUAUGAAGAAGGCCUUCGGGUUGUAAAGUACUUUCAGCAGUGAGGAAGAGGUGUAGAUUAAUACUCUGCAUCUUUGACGUUAGCUGCAGAAGAAGCACCGGCUAACUCCGUGCCAGCAGCCGCGGUAAUACGGAGGGUGCGAGCGUUAAUCGGAAUUACUGGGCGUAAAGCGCAUGCAGGUGGUUUGUUAAGUCAGAUGUGAAAGCCCGGGGCUCAACCUCGGAAUAGCAUUUGAAACUGGCAUACUAGAGUACUGUAGAGGGGGGUAGAAUUUCAGGUGUAGCGGUGAAAUGCGUAGAGAUCUGAAGGAAUACCAGUGGCGAAGGCGGCCCCCUGGACAGAUACUGACACUCAGAUGCGAAAGCGUGGGGAGCAAACGGGAUUAGAUACCCCGGUAGUCCACGCUGUAAACGAUGUCUACUUGGAGGUUGUGGCCUUGAGCCGUGGCUUUCGGAGCUAACGCGUUAAGUAGACCGCCUGGGGAGUACGGUCGCAAGAUUAAAACUCAAAUGAAUUGACGGGGGCCCGCACAAGCGGUGGAGCAUGUGGUUUAAUUCGAUGCAACGCGAAGAACCUUACCUACUCUUGACAUCCAGAGAAUUUAGUAGAGAUACUUUAGUGCCUUCGGGAACUCUGAGACAGGUGCUGCAUGGCUGUCGUCAGCUCGUGUUGUGAAAUGUUGGGUUAAGUCCCGCAACGAGCGCAACCCUUAUCCUUGUUUGCCAGCACGUAAUGGUGGGAACUCCAGGGAGACUGCCGGUGAUAAACCGGAGGAAGGUGGGGACGACGUCAAGUCAUCAUGGCCCUUACGAGUAGGGCUACACACGUGCUACAAUGGCGCAUACAGAGGGCUGCCAACCAGCGAUGGUGAGCGAAUCCCAAAAAGUGCGUCGUAGUCCGGAUUGGAGUCUGCAACUCGACUCCAUGAAGUCGGAAUCGCUAGUAAUCGUAGAUCAGAAUGCUACGGUGAAUACGUUCCCGGGCCUUGUACACACCGCCCGUCACACCAUGGGAGUGGGCUGCAAAAGAAGCAGGUAGUUAACCUUCGGGAGAACGCUGCCACUU